rnacentral:lncRNA from 1 species
GAGCUGUUCACCGUUUUAGAAAAGCACAUGACUGAUGGCAGCACUGCCCUGGCACCAAAGGAGCUGAUACACGGAAACACCGUGUCAGGGGCUGUGCAGCCACGCUAAUGCUACAUUUAGAUGCAAGAAUUUGACAGCUUCAUUACUGUGAUUGUCCCUGAGCACUUAUGUAAGGAAAGAGCAUGGAGCCUGCCAGCCUGCUUCUACCUGGAUCCUAUUUGCCACCUUGGAACAGAAGCUGUCUUGUCAAUGUGUGCAAUGAUUACAUUGGGCGAAGAUGGAGAAGCACAGAACAUUUAUCAACAUACACCAUAUGUUGGGCUAUAAAACAAGUCUUUUUUUUUUUUUUUUUCGAGGAAGAUUAGCCCUGAGCUAACAUCUGCCACCAAUCCUCCUCUUUUUGCUGAGGAAGACUGGCCCUGAGCUAACACCUGUGCCCAUCUUCCUCUAUGCUAUGUGGGAUGCCUACCACAGCAUGGCUUGACAAGUAGUGCAUAGGUCUGCACAUGGGAUCCGAGCCAGCUAACCCCAGGCCACCAAAGUGGGAAGUGUGCACUUAACCACUGUGCCACCGGGCCAGC